CAGAGGGUGCAAGCGUUAAUCGGAAUUACUGGGCGUAAAGCGUGCGUAGACGGUUAUGUAAGUUAGGUGUGAAAGCCCCGGGCUCAACCUGGGAAUUGCAUUUAAGACUGCAUAGCUAGGGUGCGGAAGAGGGAAGCGGAAUUUCCGGUGUAGCGGUGAAAUGCGUAGAUAUCGGAAGGAACAUCAGUGGCGAAAGCGGCUUCCUGGUCCAGCACCGACGUUCAGGCACGAAAGCGUGGGGAGCAAACAGGAUUAGAUACCCUGGUAGUCCACGCCAUAAACGAUGAGAACUAGACGUUGAGAGGGUAAGCCUCCCAGUGUCGAAGCUAACGCGAUAAGUUCUCCGCCUGGGGAGUACGGCCGCAAGGUUG
rnacentral:rRNA from 1 species